rnacentral:rRNA from 1 species
GCUCUUAGAUCUAUAAAGAGUCCUACCUGCACACUGAGUUUUAAAGAGCUGCAGUAAUCUAACUGUACUAAGGUAGCAUAAUACAUUGUCUUUUAAAUGAAGACUGGAAUGAAAGGUCUGACGAAGGACAAGCUAUUAAGGCUACUAUAUUAAUUUGUCUGCAGGUUAAAAUACCUGUAAAUAGCCGGAAGACGACAAGACCCUGUAAAAUUUUACUUACUACAACUAAGACCAGCUAAAAAUAAAUUUAAAGUUUGACUGGGAUGGUUAAAAUAAUUAAUCUACUUUUAUCUUAACACUGAUAAGUGAUCUCUAAGACCCUUUAAAGAUCUAAAGAUUAAAUUACUUUAGGGAUAACAGCGUAAUUUCUCUUAGAGCUCUUAUCGAAAGAGAAGAUUACGACCUCGAUGUUGAAUUAAGGCACUAAAAUAAUGCAGCCGUUAUUAAUAGAGAUCUGUUCGAU